UCUUGGUCCCCUUGUGUCUUGGUUCAACCAAAUGGUUGAACUAAGGAGAAAACCCAGGUCUCAUGAGAGACCUGAGCUUUUCCCCGCACAGUCUCGUUCGAGACUGUGCCUGUCUCGAACGAGACAGUGCAAAAUUUGCACUGGUCUCGAACGAGACCAGCCUGUCUCGUUCGAGAACCAGGCAUAUUUUGCUGGUCUCGUUCGAGACCAGCGAUACCCCUCCAAGGAGGGCAGUUUGGGCAUAUUUUUCUCUUCUUUCGAAACCGUAUUUAAACCAAACUCCAACCCUAAUUCAUUCUCCACACUUCAAAGAAACCAUAGCCGUCUUUCCCUUCCUUUUUCGCUGAAAAAUCAUUGAUCGUUUCCGUUCUCAAAGCUUGAGAAAAGUAUCGAUCGAAAUUGAUUCCGCUUGAUCUCAGACGUUGUGGACUCGAUUCUCUACGUUCCUCUUUUUCGUGUUCGGUUAACGGUACGUUAUUUCCUUCGUUUGAGCCACCGCCGUUACAUCGUCGCGUUUGAUUUCAGUUUUUAGUUUUAAAACAACUUUCAAUGUUUUGGUUCGUUUGUUAUCGUUUCUAGGUCGAAAUUGUUUUCGUUUGAUCCCGGAGACUCUAGACUCUCCUACCUUCGAGUCCCUAGCUCUUUUACGCUUUACGGUGUGCCGCUGAGCUCGUGUUUAUCUCUGCCGUUUCGUCGCUUGACUCGUCUACUGUUCGUGCUUCAGAGGCGAACCAGAAUUAGUGCUUGCCAGUAUUUCACGUGGAUUAGCAAGCAGGUUAUGAUCUGAGAGAGUCUGGUGAUCUCCGCUUUUACUUUUCCUCGGAGGUUCCAUUUAUUUUUAGUAGAACUAUCAAACUGUUUUAUUCUUAGACCGCAGUAGUUGACUAGACGUCUUUAUUUUAUUCUAGUUGUUGUCGGAUUGGUCCGACUGGAUUAUUAUUGCUUUGGCAUGUUAUAUAAUUUUUCAGAAUCAUUUAUGUUACGCCUAAUUAUAAUUCAAUAUUGGAAAGCAUGUUAUAUUAAAUGUUGAUUAUUAUAACUGCUAGACUUAGGCUGAAGUCUCGGUUGCCCCCGAGCAUUGGUUUUCUUGCAGGUUUAUGUUUUGUUUGGUUAUCCGCAAGACUAGCUAC